rnacentral:lncRNA from 1 species
CACUAAACAAAAAUAUGUAGAACUCUGAAGAAGCUCUUUCUUCUCUCCAAGAAAUACAUCGAUUUAGAGAUAUUUUUAUAUUUUAAGAACUUUUUUUUAGGGAAACUCGUUUUUUAAGAACCUGUUUUCUUUUUUCUUUUUUUGAGUGGUUUUUAUAAGAACCUGGUACAUCGUUUCUGAACAGACAGAAGUUUUCGGGUUUCAGACGUAAAGCCCGUGAAGGCCAGCCUACCUUGGGCUGAACUCUAUUCAUGUUUCCAUCAGGUCCACGGGUUUCCCUGAAAAGAAAUCUGGCCCACUCCUUGCAUAUGCA